UUUUCGUUUAAAAAUUUUGAAUGAUGAAAAUACUCUUGCUCUUUAAAAAAAAUUAUGACAUCCUAUGCAUAUUAUAAUACGCUGUGUUAUAUUAUGAUAUCUUGUAGAUAAAAAUUACGAUUUUCUAAAUGCAAGAUGUCAUAAUAUAGACAUAGGAUAUCAUACUUUUUUUUCAAAAAAUAGAAAUAUUUUCAUCAUUCAAAAUUUUAAACAAAAAAGUA
rnacentral:lncRNA from 1 species